ensembl:lncRNA
CUCUCCCAGCCCCGAAAUGACGCAGCCCCCGCUCCGGCAUCGCCUCCCGUCUGGGCUGGCUCCGUUUCAGGAGCUCCGUCUCCCCCCACCCCCUUCUUCCCAGCCUUCCUCCUUCCUCCUCCUCCUCGCCUCACCGUCACUCUCAAACAACCCCCCCCCACCCGACACCCGCUCCCCCCCGCCGCCCCAAACUCCUUCCUCAGGACCGCGGGAUGCCGGCGAGCCCUGGCGAGCGCCGCCGCUCUCCAUUUCCAAGCGGGGAGAGCCGCCGGGAGCGCCGCCUGGACUCUCACAGUUCUUCGGUAGCUUUUCUGAUCCAUCAUGUCAGCCUGGCAGCUGUGCCUCUGCGCUCUGCCUGCUGCCCACCGCCAGCCAGAUUUCAGCCUCCUACGUGUGGCAUGCCCUCUUCCCUGGCUGUCCCCUCACCGGAGAGCUCAUUUUGCCUGCGCCUCUAUUUAAUGGAUUUCCUGUAACUGGAAGAACUGCUUUCUCUCAGGGGUCUUCUUAGCCCACGGCACCAGCUCCACAAGCACAGAGGAGUGUGUGUUCCCAGAUGUACCCAGGCCCACUCUGUUCUCCAGCCUCGUUACAUGGGUUUCUGUCUCUCCUCAGCAUCCCCUUGAAUGGCAUCUACUGCACAUAACUUUUCGGACCACAAAGCUGAAACACUUCCUGUGACUCAAAUGGCUCCAGCACAGCUAUUUCCUAGAAGACAUCCUCCCUGAUUUCUUGUGGUGCCUGUUAGAUUGCUGAAGUUGCAGCAAAGAUAUGGAAAAGACAAUUGAGGUCUUAUUGCUCCUGUUGGAAACUUCUGCCGACUACAGCAAGAGUUGGACUGGGCCCAGAGAAACCAGAUACAUACAAGUUGCAAUGAGUUGGCCACACAAGCAAGGAAAAUCACAGAUAACGGAUGCACACAAAUUAGUAAUGUACCUUUUAGGUCAUCCAGUACAGCUUGCUGACACAUUGAGAUUGUCUCCUAUGGCAUAUUUUUGGUUGCUUUGGAUGACUGGAUUAAAUGUCCUAAGUAAUGCCAUUUACUUAAGGAGAGAUUGUGCUGCCCAGUAUAUCCUGUUAGAAGUCUUUUUUUCCUUUCUUAACAUCAUCAUAUUUCUCCCAGUUUUGUUCCUUUGCAAACCUCCUUAUUUCCCUUCUGCGAUGCUAUUUUUUCUCCAGUGUCUUUAGACUAAUGUGAUGUUCCAUUUAGUUAACAUUAAGUCAGUUCAUACCUAUUUAGAUCAUUUAAUCUUUUCUGAUAAAUCAGUCCUUUCAGUCUCCUGGUUAUUUUCUCAUCUCCUCUUGUCCCACUCCUGUCUGUCAGUAGCUUUUUUAGCUAUGAUAUUUUAAAGAUGUGGUGCAUUUAUCUGAACUAACGGCAGGUUGGGCACAGACUUGAGCACCCUCAAUACCUUCUCACUGAAAACCACUCAAGGGAAGGCCACUGGCACUCUGUGCAAACAAGCAGGCAGAGCAUUCUGUUCAAACCAUUUCCUUGGUAUCACCUGUUUUACUGAUCAUCAACAAAAAACAUUUAAACAUUUAGCCUAGUGAUUCAAAAACCAAACAUGGGUCACUAUAGAUUAAUUAUAUUUUUUCAUAAUGCUAGGAAAUAUAAUGGCAGAGAGGAAAAUACAUUUGUUGUUGGUAUUUUCAAACUCUUGGUCGUGGAUAUCACAAUCUAAAAUUAUGGAAGAUGUUGUCUUGUCUAGUAACUAUAUUUGGGUGCCACUGGAGUACACUGUAGAAAGUAAUUAUAUAUGUAGUCACAAGCAUAGCUGUUCACGUCAGGCAAUAAAUUCUGAUCAACAAACAACACUCCUUUAGUGCUAAAUGAAAUCUUGGCUGUAAUUGACUGUCUUUACCUUUGUGUUCUGUUGGAUUGGAGGAAUAUCAUUUUAAUCUGCUCUCUUUAAAUUUUCAUUAAGGAACGUUUCAGCUACCUGCAGCCUCGUCUGAUGAUGUUUAAUGAUAUAAGCUAGCACGUUCUUCCGUGCACCAGCAGGGGCUUCUUUAAAUUGGUCAACCGUACAGAACAUUGUUUUCGUGUUUAAUGUACUUGGAAUCAACCUUUUAAAAUAAUGAUGUCUCUACAGACAGUUUAUAUACGUAGCACACACACAUAUGUGCAUGUGUAUGUAUGCAUAUAUACGCGUAAGUGCACACAUACAUAGAGAAACACUGAUCCUAUUCACCUUCUUGAAAACAUUUCAGCUAGUAUUAGCAUAAAUGUGCUGUUAAGUUGGCAGUGUUAUACAUUUUUGUUGGAGUUUACUUCUGUAACCUAAAAUCAAGCAGAUAAGCUGUGAAACUCAUGCAGCUGAUGACAUAACGCUGGGAUCUCAUGAUGCUGAAUCUCAUAUUUCUAGGCAUAAAGGAUGGAUGUUCCUUUCUGGAAUUAUUAUGCUGCCUAUUGCAAUAUAUGUUUUCUUGUUUUCAUGUGGGCACUGAGAUGUUCAAACCAUUAAAUGUAUAUGGUAUAAUGAGUCCUGUGUUCCUUAUUUAUUCUAAAGAAGGCAUUAACUUUCUAUGGUUGUUUUAUUGUAUGAUAAUAAAGCCAACUACUCUAAGAAUCUGUGAUGAACAUAGCAAUAAGCUGUGACAAUAUGCAUAGUUACAUUUAAUGCCGAUGUCCAAAUGUACAUAUGUGCAUAUAAAUAAGCAUAUAUGUAUAUUCAAGCACUCAAAGAUAGGUACACACACAAAUUAAAUACAGUCAAUUAGGAUAUGGCAUAAGCAGAUUCAAAGCUUACCUGUUACGGCUUUGUAAAGGGGGAAAUCCGAACCACAAAGACACACAUGAAAGUAAAGCUCUAUAUACUCCAUUGGCUCGUUACCAUUAUGCUCAACAGUGACAGGCUGUAUGCUAAGACGGGGUACCAGCAGACAUUCGCCAUGACAGCUGGUUCAAAACAGAGCUUUCAAAAUAGUGCAACACCCCUCACUUCCUUCCAAAUCCUGGUGUUUGCCAGCAGCACUUAGCUGAGGCUGGCUCUUAAGGUCAGAUGUUCAGAUAUAAGUUGUCUGAAAUGAAUCUGCUUCUUUGUUUUUGGACCGUGUAUAUGUUCAGCAUAGCAUCUAGGCUCUUCAUGAAUUUGUGUUUGAGUUCACACGUGAGUAGUGCUUGCCUAUUACCUGAAAAAAUGAUGGAUGUUUUUCCCCGACACCAUGCUCUAUUUGCCUGAGAUUGUCCUCUAUCAAAUUCUCCUUUCUUUUGUGGGUUACAUAAAAUGAGAGCCAUACACAGGCUUCUUGUUUUCACUGAAAAAAAUAAAAAAGCACAGCCCCUCUGUUGAGAAAUAGAAGCAAAACGGUUUCUCUUUAACAUCACCCACAUCACACGCACUGCUCAGCCAAUUAGGGACAGAGCAUAAAAAAUACUUAGUUUAUCCUGUGUGACUUUUCCCAGUAGAUACAUAUAGAAUCUGGAAAUAAACACACUCCUCCUUUGGAAGGAAACGCAAACAGGGUUUAUCUAUUUGCAUUUGAACUCAGUGAAAAAUAACCAGGCACAAAAAGCAAGCUUGAAGAUAAGACACCAGUAUACAUAAAGCUAAAUUUUAGCAAGCUAAAUUCUGCUAUGCUGUUAUAAUUGCUACGCAAAACACGAGCUAAUUCAUUGUUCCAUUGUGCUGGUGAAAUAGGUAUGCGUUACAUGUGGGGCAGGUAGGGGAGCUUACACAGGGAUGCUGUUGACUUUGCUGAGCAGCCAGUGUGUGGGGAGCAUGCCAUCAACAACCUUGUGAAAAUGAGGCUGGUGAACCAGCUUGGUCUCGGAAAUGACUUUAGAGUGGGUAGAAUAAUAUUUAAAAACUAUGAUGAAUUAUAGCUGCAGCACACGAAUACUAAGUGUGUGCAGUUUAUCAUUUACCAUAUCACCUGGGGACCCCAAGACCUGAGUGUCAGAUCUUCAGAGGAAUUCAGAUGGCUAAACGUGCUGCUGCCUGGGGAUCUUCAGUGCUGCCCAGACACAUCCCUCCUAAUGCAAUCAAGGAGAUCCAGGUAUCAGGGCUCUUCAGAAAAGCAUUGAUCAGUCUCUUGGGCAGCUCCACUCCGUUCCUGGAGUAUUGACCCUGCUUCAGCUGGAAGUGCCUCUGGGGAGGUGCUGAGGUGAAUGGGAUGAGGCUGUGCACAUUUCUGGAGGAGGUAGGGCUCUCCUGCAAGCCAGAGGCAUGAGCAGGGCUGCUUCCCUGCAGCAGGCCCGCUGGGCUUUCUGAUGCUCAGCUCACCAGCUCCGGUGGUACACGAGCAGCGUGGGUACACACUGUGGCUGGCGAUGCCCCUGUUUGACAUCAGCCUUCCCUCCUGGAUCCGGGCCGCUGCUGAUUGCUGAGGGGUGGCCAGGAGCAGCUCCCUCUGGUGAACCUCUUUUGUGCUUUUAUCUCCCUCCUCUUGGCAGUGAGCUGGCACUGGAUGCCAGCCACGGCCCGCUCACCCUCCCCAGUGCCCAGCCGGAAUGCUCAGCCAGUGCCUACUUCUCUUCCAGCAGCUGGCCCUACUUCUCCUCCACAGCUGGCUGCUGCCCCCUACUGUGGUAAUUAUUAUUUAUGAUGGAUAUUCAGUGUACAUUAUGUGUCCAGAGUCCAGUGCCAUCUGAGUCAGUACCAGAGUCCUACUGAGUGGGCAGAAGCACACAGCAAUGCGCUGUUGUUCCACACAUACACUCACCAGGCUCUCACACAGGGAUAGACUGAGGGGGAGGGAGUGAAGGUGGCUGUUGGCACCUAUUAGCAUGAUCUGAUGUGACACGUACUCUGUGUCCUGUGUUACAUGACUCUGACGACACCACAGCUGAGUGCAGAACUGCUUUUCUUCACCUUGCUAUCAAUAGCAGGUCUCUUGCAAUUCAUGCUAUCAAAUGGGAAACACGCAAGGUGUUUGCCAAAAGACGUGGUUGCUGCUCAGCCUCUGCUUAACUCCCUUUUGCUUUGAAGGUAGAUAUCGCUUGGUGCUCAGCUGCUGUCGAGAAGUGACGACCAUAGACCUCAGCAUGGCUUCAUUGGGCAUCACUCAAUUUCCUGUUUCUCUCCCCAACUGUCUUUUCCAGGAGUGCCUGAUUGUGCUGGUCCCUUGUUGCAUGUGUCUAUCAUCUCCCUCUUGCCCUUCACCUUUCCUUCUCACACUGCCUCCUUGAACCCAUUACCCUCAGGCAAAUACAGCAGAGCUUUAACUUCCAUAUCUUAGUGUAAAAGCAAAAGCACCUGAAUGAAGCAGCAUCCUCCAUGCAUUCAGAAAAAUACAGAAUCUUAAACAUGCUUCAAACACACAUGUAAUGUAUGCGAGCCAGCUUCUCAGCUAUAGUGGUUAGGUUUAUCUGUUAAAGAUGAUGGAACAAUACUGUUUCAUGGCAGCUAAGGAUCUGUCCCAGUAUGUAAAUGUAAAUAUCUAUUUUUACAAGCCCUCCUACAGUUUGCUUUAAAAGAAACCUUUCUUUUUAGACACUGAAAGCAUACAAGCCAGUCAGAAAUGUCCCACUUUCUAUAUUUUGUUUAAUUCCUACCUCUGACUUCCUUUGAAAUCUAAUGAAUUCAAAAAAGACAGAGUGAAUUAAAAGUGAAGUAGCUUUGCCUUUGGUGCACAGGGCCUGUAGGAACUGAAAAAAAAAGAAAAAAACAGGAAAGAAAUGAAAUGGGUAUGAAGCCACAUCAAUCCAAAUAAUUUUAAAUGUUUGAUGGUAAGCAAGCUCACCAAACCUAGCAAAAUUCCCACUGUCCUUUUGCUUGUGACUUCUAUCCUUUCAACUAGCUGUGGCAAAUUAAUGUUGAGAGCAAAUACUCAUGCAUUCAGUCUGUAUCAGGGCACUUUCUGCCAUGAUUCUCUUUUUAAAUUGUUUUGAGUUUUAUGUCUAAUUGCUUCCUUUGUGUUUUAUGCACAAAGAUGCCUGCAUCCCAUAUUUCAUAUGUAUCGAGCUAUAGUUCUUGGAUAGGGUGUAUUCAAACCUCAGAACUCUUCAAGUUUGAUUCCAGGAACUGAUUUGUCCUUUUUUUAAAGAUAGGAACCACAUGUGCAACCUGGAUCCAGAUCUAGGGUAGGGUCUGGAUACGUUACUUUAAAUGCACUAGGAUGAGGGAUCCAAACUUGUUUAUUUGUAAUGAAAUUAGUUCUAAUACCUACUGCUGGAUGCUCAACUUUCCCCUCACUAUGAAGAGAAAUGUUCACAUAUUUACUUCUGGUCUUAUUUAUAAUUCAUUGCAGAAUCACACUGUCUUCAGGAUAUUUUUCUCAGUUUGGUUUGUUACCAUCCUCUUUAGCAAUUGCUUAUAACUAAUUGGAUCGCUUGCACAUGGCCACACUCCUCUGAUAAGUCCCUGUUAUCCCACUCGCCCUCUGAAGGCUGCUCUGCUGGCUCCUCGAGGCACUCCAGUAAAACAGAGAGGUACUUGUCCCUUAGUACCAACCUAAAGCCAUUUAACAGACUGAGGGACACCCUCAUGGGUUUCUUCUGUCCAACGUACUCUCUUUAGCUACUGUUCAGAACCGGUUUCUUGGGCCCCCUAAAACUCGUAAACUUCAAAGCUCUGCAAUUCCCAGGAUUUUCCUCAUCUCCUUUUGAAGACAGGCAACAUAAUAGGGCUUCCCAGCCUUCUAGUGCUGCUGCGUUUUUCAAGGGAAGAAGGCAUCCCCUUGUCAGUAUCUUGGCUUUUUCUCACUUUAUUUCCCCUCAGAACUCCCAGAUGAACACCAUCCGGUUGUGGUGAUUUACUGCAUUUGAGUUUCUCAAGUUACGCUACAACUUCCUCCUCAGAGACUUCAAUCUGUAUAAAGGCCACACUCUGAUUUUCUUUGCAAAGUGCCUUUGGCACAGGAAUUUCUGCGCGACUCUCGGCAGCAGACAUGAUGCGAGGGAUUUAUUUAACUUCUCUGUUAGCUUGUUGCACUUAUCUCCUGACCCACUUUAUAUGGAUUCGUGAGGAUCUGUGGGGUGUUUUGGUGCAUAGCCCAACAUAAGAUUUAUAUUCACUUACAGGUGAGGCCCAGCCCUCACCUGGUGUUCUCUUGCUGUUCCACCAAAGGAUAUUUCUGCACAUUACUGCAGCCACUCUCCUUUCUUCCCACUCCUUUUCUGUUUUAAGAAAGAUAGAAGCUGCCAUACGGCCCAGCCAAUCUUCAGUGAUUAUGAAGGACAGAACUAGAACAUUAGAAAUGGUGCAAAAAUAUUCUCCAUGUCCUCUGGUCACUGUAGGCUGGUUUAAACUCCAGAUAUAUAUACUUGAUUUGAGAUAUAUGACAAACAAUGUUGCCCUUUGGUAUGAGAUGGAUAUAGAAUGGACAUCAGCU